rnacentral:lncRNA from 1 species
GUCAGCUGAGGCAUCUGGGAAACCCUCUCCUUCUGAUCCAGGAUCUGGUACAGCUACCAUGAUGAACAGCAGCUCAAGAGGCUCUUCCCCUACCAGGGUACUCGAUGAAGGCAAGCAAACUGUUCUCCAAGAGCCUGAAGUCCCCUCAGUUCCCAGCAUUACAUCUUUGGCUGAGCGUCCAGUAGCAGUAAGUACUUAGAAGUGUGGACUGAACUGGGCUAUAAGUUGCAUGGCAAUAUUGAUCUUACUUUUAUCCUUGACUUGGGAGUGUUGCUGAAAUCUGACGGAUUCAUUGGCCUUUUCUCCUCUCUCCUGUUUGGUUAGACAUUUAACCUGUGUAGAGCAUCUGCUGUAACUGUAAUUAACUUAAACAAAAGUGAAAAGUCCCCACUCUUGUGUGUCUCAGUGUUUAAUGCUCUUAGGCAAAGUAAAUUCAUUGUAAAUUGUGUAAUUCAUUAUUAUGUCUUCAUUUGGAAGUGUGCUAUUUAAGAAUACCUACAGUUGUAUACUAGGCAAACCCUAUUUUGAAUGAUCUGAAAUUACAGAUUGAUAACAGAAGAAUGUUUGCUGGAAGUGAAAUACUGAAUAGUGGAAGUCUAUAAUUACCCGUUGAGCCAGUUCCCAGCAGUGUCCUUAAACAGUGUCCACAUAAGUGUAUUCUCUUGUAACUUG